AGUGAACGCUGGCGGUAGGCCUAACACAUGCAAGUCGAACGGCAGCACAGUAAGAGCUUGCUCUUACGGGUGGCGAGUGGCGGACGGGUGAGGAAUACAUCGGAAUCUACACUUUCGUGGGGGAUAACGUAGGGAAAGUUACGAUAAUACAGCAUACGACGUACGGGUGAAAGGAGGGGAUCUUCGGACCUGGCGGGAAUGAAUGAGCCGAUGACGGAUUAGCUAGUGGGCGGGGUAAAGGCCCACCAAGGCGACGAUCCGUAGCUGGUCUGAGAGGAUGAUCGCCCACACUGGAACUUGGACACGGUCCAUGCUCCUGCGAUAGGCAGCAGUCGGGUAUAUUGGGCAAUGGGCGCAAACCUUAUCCAGCCGUACCGCGUGUGUGGCGGAGGCCUUCCGUUUGUAAAGACCUUUUGUUGGUAGAGAAAAGCUUCCGGUUAAUACCCCGCUUUUCUGACGGUACCCAGAGAAUAAGCACCGGCUAACUUCGUG
rnacentral:rRNA from 1 species